rnacentral:misc_RNA from 1 species
GAUGAAGAACGCAGCGAAAUGAGAUAAGUAAUGUGAAUUGCAGAAUUCAGUGAAUCAUCGAAUCUUUGAACGCACAUUGCGCCCCUUGGUAUUCCGAGGGGCAUGCCUAUUCGAGCGUCAUUACCACCCCUCAAGCCUAGCUUGGUGUUGAGACCUGCUGUCAAGGCAGUCUCUAAAAUCAGUGGCAGUGCUGUCAGGCUCUAAGCGUAGUAAAUCUAAUCGCUAUAGACACCUGGUGGACACUCGCCAGAACCCCCCAUUUUUUAAUGAUUGACCUCGGAUUAGGUAGGGAUACCCGCUGAACUUAAGCAUAUCAAUAAGCGGAGGA